rnacentral:rRNA from 1 species
UGGGGAAUAUUGGACAAUGGGCGAAAGCCUGAUCCAGCCAUGCCGCAUGAGUGAAGAAGGCCUUUGGGUUGUAAAGCUCUUUUAGUGAGGAAGAUAAUGACGGUACUCACAGAAGAAGUCCUGGCUAACUCCGUGCCAGCAGCCGCGGUAAUACGGAGAGGGCUAGCGAUAUUCGGAAUUAUUGGGCGUAAAGGGCGCGUAGGCUGGUUAAUAAGUUAAAAGUGAAAUCCCGAGGCUUAACCUUGGAAUUGCUUUUAAAACUAUUAAUCUAGAGAUUGAAAGAGGAUAGAGGAAUUCCUGAUGUAGAGGUAAAAUUCGUAAAUAUUAUGAGGAACACCAGUGGCGAAGGCGUCUAUCUGGUUCAAAUCUGACGCUGAAGCGCGAAGGCGUUGGGAGCAAACA